GCCUACGCAACAGAGUGAGACACCAUCUCGGAAAAAAGAAAAAAAAAAGUUGGCUUUGCAGACACUGCCACUGAGGAAAAUCCUGUACUAUUAGCCAUGGUCAACCCCACCGUGUUCUUCGACAUUGCCAUCGACGGCGAGCCCUUGGGUCGCAUCUCUUUCGAGUUGUUUGCAAACAAGAUUCCAAAGACAGCAGAAAAUUUUCAUGCUCUGAGCACUGGAGAGAAAGGAUUUGGUUAUAAGGGCUCCUGCUUUCACAGAAUUAUUCCAGGGUUUAUGUGUCAGGGUGGUGACUUCACACGCCAUAAUGGCACUGGCAGCAAGUCCAUCUACGAGGAGAAAUUUGAUGAUGAGAACUUCAUCCUAAAGCAUACAGGUCCUGGCAUCUUGUCUCUACAAAAAAUAAUUAGCCUGGCCUGGUGGUGCAUGCCUAGU